UGAGGAAUAUUGGUCAAUGGACGCAAGUCUGAACCAGCCAUGCCGCGUGAAGGAAUAAGGCCCUAUGGGUCGUAAACUUCUUUUGUAUGUGAGCAAUAAGGUCCACGUGUGGUCCGAUGAGAGUAUGCGUAGAAUAAGCAUCGGCUAACUCCGUGCCAGCAGCCGCGGUAAUACGGGGGAUGCGAGCGCUAUCCGGAUUUAUUGGGUUUAAAGGGUGCGUAGGCGGAAGUGCAAGUCAGCGGUGAAAUCCCCGCGCUCAACGCGGGAGUUGCCGUUGAUACUGUACAUCUGGAAUGCUCUUGCCGUGGGAGGAAUGAGUAGUGUAGCGGUGAAAUGCAUAGAUAUUACUCAGAACACCGAUUGCGAAGGCAUCUCACGAAGGGGCGAUUGACGCUGAGGCACGAAAGCGUGGGGUAUCGAACAGGAUUAGA
rnacentral:rRNA from 1 species